GAGUUGGGCGUUUUACGUAGUAUUUCUGUACAGGUUUCUGAAAGAACAAAAAAUUCGACCAUAUAAAACUGUUUCGAAACAAUUUUUUCUUAGUCCUUUAUUAAACAAUUUCUCCCAGAAAAGCAAGUGGCACGCCCACGCGGCAGAAUAGAUUGAGCAACCGCAGACGUCACUUUCACUUGUGUGCAGGAGAGAGAGAGAGAGAGAGCAUAUAUUCGCUAACUUCAGUUGUUUUUUUGUUAACUGCGUUUAGUUGAUGAAUGAUAUAUAAAUGGUGGAUAUAACGCUGGAUUUGGAGAUCAUUUGAAACUUAUAUAUGAAGCUGUCCCAGCGCUAAAAGAUGCCGGACAUGAACCCCCAUGCGGUGAGUGAAACUGAUGUCAGUGUUUUGUUGACAAUGUGCUUUAGUUCAGCCUCCCCCCAGCACGCGUCGUAUGAUAUCGGAAGUAAUAGUACAGCUGUAUCUAUCUUUUAUAAAUGUGAUCAAACUAAAUACUGUUCGUAAAUACGACGUAUGCAAUACUUCUCUAUAGGUACUCAAGAUUAUGAGAUUGGCAGAAACCCUGUGUGUUAGGGUCGCCUUAAAACGGCUCUUCACAGUGAUGCCAUAGAACACAGGUGUCAAACUCAGUUCCUGGAGGGCCGCAACCAGUACUUGAGUUGAGGGGGGAUGGCAUGAAAAAAGAUGGUCAAAAUCAUCACCCUUCUAAAAGGGCGUCCCCGCUUCCCAUCCCCUGUUAUUUUAGCAAUGAAUGUGGUAAUAUUAGCACUAUUUCAACAUUUCGUUUUUGCGAAUAUUGAAUAGGCUAAAAUACACGACGAAUUGUUUUAAAUUGACGUAACGUCAGUCAUAGCAGAGCAGGCCCAGAUAGCAGGGGACUCCGAGCCGGAUCCGUUUUCAAACCGGCAAAUCCGGGUUACAGUCGCAUCCGUUUCACUGCAUCAAUACAGAUCCAGACUGAGUCCGGUUUGAAUGGCGAGAACGACAGUCGUUCAGCAGAUGCCAGUCGUAUCUGUGUAACCGAACGCGCGAAGUUUUCUGAAGUGAAGUGGCGGCAGCCCGCAGCGGUAACGUUAUUCCUCAUAAACUUCAGUAAGGUAAGUCACACAGCGUGUUGUCAAACUGUUUCAUUAAUGAAUUAAUUGUUCAGUUAUUACGUUGUAUAACGUUACUGCUUAACUUAAAAUUGUUGUGAGUUUUCCUGCGUUAGACCGGUAUAACUCGGGUGCUAACUCGUAUGUUAUCAGAGCAUGCUAACAUGAAAAUGGCCCAGGUCUGUAAGAAUAUUAUUGACAAAUUUGAACAACUUCUAUCAAAUUUCACUGCUAAAGUUGAGAUAUCACUGCUCUGUAAUUGUAAACUUUAAAUGAUAUAAAAGUUCGCGAGCCAUUUACUCAAGUAACGUUAAAGAGAAUAUUUAAUGCACUUUUGAAUCUGUGUGCAUGCUCAAGGUAGAAUUUAUAAUAUAAAUAUGUUGAUCAUUCAAAGUAACGUUCAUGAAAAGAGAUUUAUUUUCCGUGUUUUGAUUGCAGCGUUGAGUAUUACAAUACGUGAGAGACAGCGCUUGAGCUAAUGGCCAAUCAGAAGUUUAACAACAGAGUCCAGACAGAUGUUCCACAAGAGAGCCGGCAAAGGAGACGAGGAAUCACCUUUACUGAUUUCUGGAGUCAGACGGAGGGUUUGCAUUGUACUUGGAAAACAACUACUUGAAUUUUCAAAAGACCCAGAACCAUCUUAAGCCAACAAAGUUUACACAUUUUCCAUCACCAAUGAAGCAGCAAUGAUGGUUGACGUAAGCACUUUGAGUCAUUUGGAGCUGAGGAGGCCAACACCUGUAUUAACAUCCAUUCUUCAAACUAGUAAGUCCAUCAGGGUCAUAGUAUUGACCGGGACAGUAGAGAUGCCCAGACCUCUAGCUGCAGUUUUCUGCAUAGGAUUUUAGCUGCCAAUCAGUUUUGGGCCUUGUUGGUCAAUCUUUGUUCCAUAAUUCUUUUAAAUACACAGUACUGGUUCAAAUUUGCAAACGCUUAUGUUUUAUCACCUUUUAUAGUAAUAGUUAACUCAUUAAAACCAUGGAACUACACAUUUGUAACUAUCAAUUAUGUUGUGACUAAAAGCAUCUAAUAUAAAUCAACACUACCUAAUAUUUUAGCAUCUAUGUGUGUAUGUGUAUAUGUAUAUAAAUACAGUUUUUGUUUUCUAAAGAAAUUGAUGUUGGUACAAUUAUAUUUUUAUCUGGAAAAGUUAUUUCAAACAUUUUUUAAGAUAUUUAACAUCAUUUCAGUCAUGUGUUUCCAAACUUUCGACUGGUACUGUAUAUUGAAAGUUCUGAUCGUUAAAAGAUUGUUCUGAGAACUGUUUUUCUUUUUGAGAAAUAUGUCCCAUAUAUUUUUUAAAUGUUGCUGGCAUCAAAAUUAAAUGAU